rnacentral:misc_RNA from 1 species
CGCACCUUGCGCUCUCUGGUAUUCCGGAGAGCAUGCCUGUUUGAGUGUCAUGUAAACCUCAACCCCUCGGGUUUCUUGCCUGGGGUGCGUUGGACUUGGGCGCCUGCCGGCCACGGCUCGCCUUAAAUGUGUUAGUGGGACGCUGCUUGUGUCUGAAAGCGUAAUAAGUUUCGCUUGACGGGCUGGCCGGCUCGCUGCCAACCCCCAACCUUUUGCAAUCUGACCUCAAAUCAGGUAGGACUACCCGCUGAACUUAA